UACAGAGGGGCAAGCGUUGUUCGGAAUUACUGGGCGUAAAGGGCGCGUAGGCGGCCUUCUAAGUCGAACGUGAAAUCCCCGGGCUCAACCCGGGAACUGCGUCCGAUACUGGAAGGCUUGAAUCCGGGAGAGGGAUGCGGAAUUCCAGGUGUAGCGGUGAAAUGCGUAGAUAUCUGGAGGAACACCGGGUGGCGAAGGCGGCAGUCCUGGACCGACACUGACGCUGAGGAGCGAAAGCCAGGGAGCA
rnacentral:rRNA from 1 species